CAGUCGCCACGGUAAUACGUAGGUCCCGAGCGUUGUCCGGAUUUAUUGGGCGUAAAGGGAGCGCAGGCGGUUUAGUAAGUCUGAAGUUAAAGGCAUUGGCUCAACCAAUGUAUGCUUUGGAAACUGUUAGACUUGAGUGCAGAAGGGGAGAGUGGAAUUCCAUGUGUAGCGGUGAAAUGCGUAGAUAUAUGGAGGAACACCGGUGGCGAAAGCGGCUCUCUGGUCUGUCACUGACGCUGAGGCUCGAAAGCGUGGGUAGCGAACAGGAUUAGAUACCCCAGUAGUCCCUGUCUCUUAUACA
rnacentral:rRNA from 1 species